rnacentral:rRNA from 1 species
GUACCCCGAGGAAAAGAAAUCAACCGAGAUUCCGAAAGUAGCGGCGAGCGAAAUUGGACUAGCCCUUAAGCUUUACACGUGUUAGACGAACGGUCUGGAAAGUCCGACGAUACAGGGUGAUAGUCCCGUAGUUGACGACGUGUGUUCAGUGAAAUCGAGUAGGGCGGGACACGUGAUAUCCUGUCUGAAUAUGGGGGGACCAUCCUCCAAGGCUAAAUACUACUGACUGACCGAUAGUGAACCAGUACCGUGAGGGAAAGGCGAAAAGAACCCCUGUGAGGGGAGUGAAAUAGAACCUGAAACCGUGUACGUACAAGCAGUAGGAGCAGGCUUUGUCCUGUGACUGCGUACCUUUUGUAUAAUGGGUCAGCGACUUAUAUUCAGUGGCAAGGUUAACCAUCUAGGGGAGCCGUAGGGAAACCGAGUCUUAACUGGGCGUUCAGUCUCUGGAUAUAGACCCGAAACCAGGUGAUCUAGCCAUGGGCAGGUUGAAGGUUGAGUAACAUCAACUGGAGGACCGAACCGACUAAUGUUGAAAAAUUAGCGGAUGACUUGUGGCUAGGGGUGAAAGGCCAAUCAAACCUGGAGAUAGCUGGUUCUCCCCGAAAGCUAUUUAGGUAGCGCCUCGGACGAAUACUACUGGGGGUAGAGCACUGUUAAGGCUAGGGGGUCAUCCCGACUUACCAACCCUUUGCAAACUCCGAAUACCAGUAAGUACUAUCCGGGAGACACACGGCGGGUGCUAACGUCCGUCGUGGAGAGGGAAACAACCCAGACCGCCAGCUAAGGUCCCAAAUUACUACUAAGUGGGAAACGAUGUGGGAAGGCUCAGACAGCCAGGAUGUUGGCUUAGAAGCAGCCAUCAUUUAAAGAAAGCGUAAUAGCUCACUGGUCGAGUCGGCCUGCGCGGAAGAUGUAACGGGGCUAAGUAGUAAACCGAAGCUGCGGCAAUGUGCUUUUGCACAUUGGGUAGGGGAGCGUUCUGUAAGCGGUUGAAGGUGUGUGGUAACGCAUGCUGGACGUAUCAGAAGUGCGAAUGCUGACAUGAGUAACGAUAAAGGGGGUGAAAAACCUCCUCGCCGGAAGACCAAGGGUUCCUGUCCAACGUUAAUCGGGGCAGGGUAAGUCGACCCCUAAGGCGAGGCCGAAAGGCGUAGUCGAUGGGAAACGGGUUAAUAUUCCCGUACUUCUUACAAUUGCGAUGGGGGGACGGAGAAGGCUAGGUGGGCCUGGCGACGGUUGUCCAGGUUCAAGUGCGUAGGCUUAAGAGUUAGGUAAAUCCGGCUCUUUUUAAGGCUGAGACACGACGUCGAGCAUCUACGGAUGUGAAGUCAUUGAUGCCAUGCUUCCAGGAAAAGCCUCUAAGCUUCAGAUUGUAAGGAAUCGUACCCCAAACCGACACAGGUGGUCGGGUAGAGAAUACCAAGGCGCUUGAGAGAACUCGGGUGAAGGAACUAGGCAAAAUGGUACCGUAACUUCGGGAGAAGGUACGCUCUCGACGGUGAAGUCCCUCGCGGAUGGAGCUAUUGAGAGUCGCAGAUACCAGGUGGCUGCAACUGUUUAUUAAAAACACAGCACUGUGCAAAAUCGUAAGAUGACGUAUACGGUGUGACGCCUGCCCGGUGCCGGAAGGUUAAUUGAUGGGGUUAGACUUCGGUCGAAGCUCUUGAUCGAAGCCCCGGUAAACGGCGGCCGUAACUAUAACGGUCCUAAGGUAGCGAAAUUCCUUGUCGGGUAAGUUCCGACCUGCACGAAUGGCGUAAUGAUGGCCACGCUGUCUCCACCCGAGACUCAGUGAAAUUGAAAUCGCUGUGAAGAUGCAGUGUACCCGCGGCUAGACGGAAAGACCCCGUGAACCUUUACUACAGCUUGGCACUGAACAUUGACCCUACAUGUGUAGGAUAGGUGGGAGGCUUUGAAGCACGUACGCCAGUAUGUGUGGAGCCGUCCUUGAAAUACCACCCUUGUAGUGUUGAUGUUCUAACGUCGACCCCUUAUCGGGGUUGCGGACAGUGCCUGGUGGGUAGUUUGACUGGGGCGGUCUCCUCCCAAAGAGUAACGGAGGAGCACGAAGGUGGGCUAAUCACGGUUGGACAUCGUGAGGUUAGUGCAAUGGCAUAAGCCCGCUUGACUGCGAGAAUGACAAUUCGAGCAGGUGCGAAAGCAGGUCAUAGUGAUCCGGUGGUUCUGAAUGGAAGGGCCAUCGCUCAACGGAUAAAAGGUACUCCGGGGAUAACAGGCUGAUACCGCCAAGAGUUCAUAUCGACGGCGGUGUUUGGCACCUCGAUGUCGGCUCAUCACAUCCUGGGGCUGAAGUCGGUCCCAAGGGUAUGGCUGUUCGCCAUUUAAAGUGGUACGCGAGCUGGGUUUAGAACGUCGUGAGACAGUUCGGUCCCUAUCUGCCGUGGGCGUUGGAAGAUUGAAGGGGGCUGCUCCUAGUACGAGAGGACCGGAGUGGACGAACCUCUGGUGUUCGGGUUGUGUCGCCAGACGCAUUGCCCGGUAGCUAAGUUCGGAAUCGAUAACCGCUGAAAGCAUCUAAGCGGGAAGCGAGCCCUGAGAUGAGUCUUCCCUGAUACUUUAAGUAUCCUAAAGGGUUGUCGGAGACUACGACGUUGAUAGGUCAGGUGUGUAAGUGCUGUGAGGCAUUGAGCUAACUGAUACUAAUUGCCCGUGAGGCUUAACCAUACAACACCCAAGGGGUUU